UACGGAGGGGGCAAGCGUUGUCCGGAAUCAUUGGGCGUAAAGCGCACGUAGUCGGCUUUGCAAGUCGGGUGUGAAAUCCCCGGGCUUAACCUGGGAACUGCAUUUGUGACUGCAUAGCUAGAGUACGGUAGAGGGGGAUGGAAUUCCGCGUGUAGCAGUGAAAUGCGUAGAUAUGCGGAGGAACACCGAUGGCGAAGGCAAUCCCCUGGACCUGUACUGACGCUCAUGCACGAAAGGCGUGGGGAGCAAACAGG
rnacentral:rRNA from 1 species